rnacentral:rRNA from 1 species
AUACGGAGGAUGCGAGCGUUAUCCGGAUUUAUUGGGUUUAAAGGGUGCGUAGGCGGAAAGUUAAGUCAGCGGUGAAACGCAGGUGCUCAACACCUGACCUGCCGUUGAGACUGGUUUUCUAGAAUGCGGAUGCUGUGGGAGGAAUGUGUGGUGUAGCGGUGAAAUGCAUAGAUAUCACACAGAACACCGAUUGCGAAGGCAUCUCACAAAACCGCGAUUGACGCUGAGGCACGAAGGUGCGGGGAUCGAACAGUAUUAGAUACCCUGGUAGUCCGCACAGUAGACGAUGAUAACUCGCUGUCGGCGAUAGACAGUCGGUGGCCAAGCGAAAGCGAUAAGUUAUCCACCUGGGGAGUACGACCGCAAGGUUGAAACUCAAAUGAAUUGACGGGG